rnacentral:rRNA from 1 species
UACGUAGGAGGCGAGCGUUGUCCGGAAUUACUGGGCGUAAAGAGCGCGUAGGCGGCGCGGUACGACCGCUGUGAAAGCCCCCAGCUCAACUGGGGAGGGUCAGCGGUAACGGCCGUGCUAUGAGUCCGGAAGAGGUGAGUGGAACUCCUAGUGUAGAGGUGGAAUUCGUAGAUAUUAGGAAGAACACCAGUGGCGAAGGCGGCUCACUGGUCCGGUACUGACGCUGAGGUGCGAAAGCGUGGGGAGCAAACAGG